rnacentral:rRNA from 1 species
CCUACGGGAGACAGCAGUGAGGAAUAUUGCUCAAUGGACGAGAGUCUGAACCAGCCAAGUAGCGUGAAGGAUGACUGCCUUAUGGGCUGUAACCUCCUUUUAUAUGGGAAUAAAAUAGCUUUUGUAUUCCCCCUUGUAUGUACCAUACGUACAAGGAUCGGCCAACCCGGUUCCAGCAGCCGCGGCAAGACGGAGGAUCCGAGCGUUACCCGGAUUUAUUGGGUUUAACGGGAGCGUAGGUGGAUUGUUAAGUCAGUUGUGAAAGUUUGCGGCUCAACCGUAAAAUUGCAGUUGAAACUGGCAGUCUUGAGUGCAGUAGAGGAUAGCGGAAUUCGUGGUGUAGGGGUGAAAUGCUUAGAUAUCACGAAGAACUCCGAUGGCGAAGGCAACUCACUGGAAUGCAACUGACACUGAUGCGCGAAAGUGUGGGUAUCAAACAGGAUUAGAUACCCUGGUAGUC